GUAUGUAGCUCAGUGGUAAACUGCUGGCCUAGUAUGCUUGAGGUUCUUGGUUUAAUCCCCAGCAUUACA
rnacentral:tRNA from 1 species